ACUACGGGAGGCAGCAGUGGGGAAUAUUGCACAAUGGGGGAAACCCUGAUGCAGCGACGCCGCGUGAGUGAAGAAGUCUUUCGGUAUGUAAAGCUCUAUCAGCAGGGAAGACAAUGACGGUACCUGAUUAAGAAGCCCCGGCUAACUACGUGCCAGCAGCCGCGGUAACACGUGGGGGGCAAUCGUUAUCCGGAUUUACUGGGUGUUAAGGGAGCGUAUUCGGCAGCAUAAGUUUGGAGUGAAAGGCCGGGGCUUAACCCCGGAACUGCUUUGGAAACUGGGCAGCUAGAGCGCAGGGGAGGUAAGUGGAAUUCCUAGUGUAGCGGUGAAAUGCGUAGAUAUUAGGAGGAACACCAGUGGCGAAGGCGGCUUACUGGACUGUAACUGACGUUGAGGCUCGAAGGCGUGGGGAGCGAACAGGAUUAGAUACCCCAGUAGUC
rnacentral:rRNA from 1 species